UUUGAUAUGAAAAUUUAAACAAAUAUUACAAAGUCAUACUUUGAACUGCUUGUAAAACACUGUAUUCUCAAGUUAUUCUCCAACCACUAUACAUAUUUAACUGAAUAUUUUUUAUUUUUAGAUGGCAGUACAGCAGAUCACUCAAUACAUGCUGAGACAUGAAUUCACAUUUCUACCACUAUGCAAAAUAUCAACAUCCUACGUUGAAAAUGUACUAGACGAUACUGCUAAUAAUAAGGGUUUUGUGCAACGUGCGUGUAAUGGAUGGCAGUACUGCAGAUCACUGGAGGCAUGCUGAGACAUGAAUUAGCAUUUCUAUCACUAGGGAAAGUUACAACAUUUUCCGUUGAAAAUGGAAUAGAAGAUGGCAGUAUAUCAGAUCAAUCAAGGCACGCUGAGACACGAAUUCACAUUUCUACCACCAAGGAAAGAAUCAACAUGCUAUGUUGAAAAUGGACUAGAAGAUACUGAUAAUAAUAUUGGAUUUAUGCAAUGUGCGUGCAAUGGUUAUUGAAUAUAAUUGAUUCUAAAUUAAUAGCUGUGAAACAAUUGAGAUUUGUUAAAUAUCUGAAUAAAAUAAUAGUAAACACCUUUA